GGGUAAGUCUUACACGACCAGCUCCUAUUUAAUCCCCCCAGGGUUGGAAGACAGCAAGGGUACGAUGGUUGUAGCGGUGCGAUGUAAGUAGCUUACCCUUU
rnacentral:SRP_RNA from 1 species